GAUGAACGCUGGCGGCGUGCCUAAUACAUGCAAGUCGAGCGAACAGACGAGGAGCUUGCUCCUCUUACGUUAGCGGCGGACGGGUGAGUAACACGUGGAUAACCUACCUAUAAGACUGGGAUAACUUCGGGAAACCGGAGCUAAUACCGGAUAAUAUAUUGAACCGCAUGGUUCAAUAGUGAAAGACGGUUUUGCUGUCACUUAUAGAUGGAUCCGCGCCGCAUUAGCUAGUUGGUAAGGUAACGGCUUACCAAGGCAACGAUGCGUAGCCGACCUGAGAGGGUGAUCGGCCACACUGGAACUGAGACACGGUCCAGACUCCUAAGGGAGGCAGCAGUAGGGAAUCUUCCGCAAUGGGCGAAAGCCUGACGGAGCAACGCCGCGUGAGUGAUGAAGGUCUUCGGAUCGUAAAACUCUGUUAUUAGGGAAGAACAAAUGUGUAAGUAACUAUGCACGUCUUGACGGUACCUAAUCAGAAAGCCACGGCUAACUACGUG
rnacentral:rRNA from 1 species